rnacentral:rRNA from 1 species
AGCAGUCGCCGCGGGAAUACGAAGGGGGCUAGCGUUGCUCGGAAUUACUGGGCGUAAAGGGAGCGUAGGCGGGCAUUUAAGUCAGGGGUGAAAUCCCAGAGCUCAACUCUGGAACUGCCUUUGAUACUGGGUGUCUUGAGUGUGAUAGAGGUAUGUGGAACUCCGAGUGUAGAGGUGAAAUUCGUAGAUAUUCGGAAGAACACCAGUGGCGAAGGCGACAUACUGGAUCAUUACUGACGCUGAGGCUCGAAAGCGUGGGGAGCAAACAGGAUUAGAUACCCCCGUAGUCCCUGUCUCUUAUAC